rnacentral:lncRNA from 1 species
AUGGGAUGAGCCGACUCCGAGAAAGCCAAGUCAGCUCCAGAAGUUGGCGAGUCGACUCUGGGUCAAGACGAGUCGACUCCCAGUCGUGAAGGCAACUUUAAUUCAAAUCUGGAACAGUUGCAGAGUCGACUCCGGAAAAGUAUGAGUCGACUCCCGCUACAGACGAGUCGACUCCUGAUCGCGCGAGUCGACUCCAACCCACCAACGGACACAUUGUCAGACUGUACAGAGUGUGCAGAACGGGCAGAAAAAGCUCUCUAACGGCUAGUUUCC